rnacentral:lncRNA from 1 species
AGUAGUUUUACUAGCCUCCAAGUGGCAUUACCUAUUGCCCGCUGCUUAGCCAGGCAAGGCACAAUAUACAGAUUGGUCCCUCUGCAAACAUUGUUUUCAUAAUAUUAGAGACCUACAAAUUAAGCAACAUAUAUCAAACUAAAUAAAACUUAAUAAUGGGAGAUUUGGGACUUAUAAUACUUAGCUAAUUUGUUCGUCCAAUUUCAUAGUAGCACCACACACAAAGUUCAGUCACAUUUCGAAACGAGUCAAUGCUAAUUGAGAGGAAAAUGUUAGUGUAAGAAAAUCAAUAACACAAUGUUGAUCGCAUACUCUCAACUGUAGGGUAAAUGGAUCAUUAGUUUCAAAGAGAAAGUAUGUGCAGGAGCAACAAAACAGUGUUGAUAACCACUCUGGAAUGUACGGGUGUGCAAAGGUACGGAUUGCAACAAUUAUCUAUAAAAAAACCAGAUCAAUAAACUAUUGCAUCACAAAUAGGAGUAGUCUGCAUCAGGAAGGUAGACAUGUAGGUUGGUUUAUACGCUGUCUGUCUUAUCGCACACACAAAUGUUGUAUAAGCAUCAUCUGCAACUUACACUAGCAUUGUCCCUGAGUCUGCCAAAGUCGUAUAUCUAUUUGAAGGUAAAAGCGAGGGGUUAAGUAGCAGCCAUUGAAUAAAGAUAAGGUGGACCAUAUACUAGUGCGGUGCAUGGUGGUCAGUGAUAACCGACAAGUAUAGGGGAUCAAUUGUAGCCUUUCUCGAUAAGUAAGAGUAUCGAACCCAAUGAGGAGCUAAAGGUAGGACAAAUAUUCCCUCAAGUUCUAUCGACC